AUUGAACGCUGGCGGCAUGCCUUACACAUGCAAGUCGAACGGUAACAGGUCUUCGGAUGCUGACGAGUGGCGGACGGGUGAGUAAUACAUCGGAACGUGCCCGAUCGUGGGGGAUAACGAAGCGAAAGCUUUGCUAAUACCGCAUACGAUCUACGGAUGAAAGCAGGGGACCGCAAGGCCUUGCGCGAACGGAGCGGCCGAUGGCAGAUUAGGUAGUUGGUGGGAUAAAAGCUUACCAAGGCGACGAUCUGUAGUUGGUCUGAGAGGACGACCAGCCACACUGGGACUGAGACACGGCCCAGACUCCUACGGGAGGCAGCAGUGGGGAAUUUUGGACAAUGGGCGAAAGCCUGAUCCAGCCAUGCCGCGUGCAGGAUGAAGGCCUUCGGGUUGUAAACUGCUUUUGUACGGAACGAAAAGACUCUGGUUAAUACCUGGGGUCCAUGACGGUACCGUAAGAAUAAGCACCGGCUAACUACGUG
rnacentral:rRNA from 1 species